rnacentral:rRNA from 1 species
GCGACACGGUCCAAACUCCUACGGGAGGCAGCAGUGAGGAAUAUUGGUCAAUGGCCGGAAGGCUGAACCAGCCAAGUAGCGUGCAGGAUGACUGCCUUAUGGGUUGUAAACUGCUUUUAUACGGGAGCAAUAAGGGUUACGAGUAAUCCGAUGAGAGUACUGUAUGAAUAAGGAUCGGCUAACUCCGUGCCAGCAGCCGCGGUAAUACGGAGGAUCCGAGCGUUAUCCGGAAUUAUUGGGUUUAAAGGGUGCGUAGGCGGCCAUUUAAGUCAGCGGUGAAAUUUUGCAGCUUAACUGUAACAGUGCCGUUGAUACUGUUUGGCUAGGAUUUGGUUGUAGUGUGCGGAAUGUGUGGUGUAGCGGUGAAAUGCUUAGAUAUCACACAGAACACCGAUUGCGAAGGCAGCACACUAAGUCAUUAUUGACGCUGAGGCACAAAAGUGUGGGGAUCAAACAGGAUUAGAUACCCUGGUAGUCCACACUGUAAACGAUGAUAACUCGCUGUCGGCGAUACACAGUCGGUGGGCAAGCGAAAGCAAUAAGUUAUCCACCUGGGGAGUACGACCGCAAGGUUGAAACUCAAAGGAAUAGACGGGGGCCCGCACAAGCGGAGGAACAUGUGGUUUAAUUUGAUGAUACGCGAGGAACCUUACCCGGGCUCGAACGGUGCAUGAAUAUACGAGAGAUAGUAUAGUCCUUCGGGACAUGUAUCGAGGUGGUGCAUGGUUGUCGUCAGCUCGUGCCGUGAGGUGUCGGCUUAAGUGCCAUAACGAGCGCAACCCUCGUCGCUAGUUGCCAUCAGGUUAAGCUGGGGAGUUUAGCGAGACUGCCUUCGUAAGAUGUGAGGAAGGGGGGGAGGACGUCAAAUCAGCACGGCCCUUACGUCUGGGGGGACACACGUGUUACAAUGGUUGGUACAGAGGGUUGCAUGCUGGUGACAGUUUGCCAAUCUCUAAAUCCAAUCUCAGUUCGGAUUGGAGUGUGCAACUCGACUCCAUGAAGUUGGAUUCGCUAGUAAUCGCACAUCAGCCAUGGUGC